ensembl:misc_RNA Metazoa_SRP Metazoan signal recognition particle RNA
GCCGGGCGCAGUGGCGUGCGCCUGUAAUCCAUGCUACUGGGAGGCUGAGGCUGGCGGAUCGUUUGAGCUCAGGAUUUCUGAGCUGCAGUGGGCUAUGUCGAUCGGGUGUCCGCGCUAAGUUCGGUAUCGAUAUGGUGCUCCUGGGGAGCCCAGGACUACCAGGUCGUCUAAGGAGGGGUGAAUCGGCCCAGGUCGGAAACGGAGCAGGUCAAAGCCCCGUGCCGCUCAUAGGGGUUCGCGCCCGUGAAUAGACGCUUAGUUCAGCCUGAAUAAUACAGCGGGACUCAGUCUUUU